AGCUUUGCUGGGUUGCAGCCAGCCUGUCCGACACGCUGUGCAAACCCACGCAGAACUGA
rnacentral:pre_miRNA from 1 species